GUGGAGUGGAAGAGCCUAGCGGGGGGAGGAGGGACGGAGGAGGGAAGAGCCGCAGAACAAUGGGCCCAGGAAUGGGGCAAGAGGAAACAGGCGGCUGACCUCAAUUCCAUCCAUUGAUGUCACCCAUGUUGACUAAAGACGAGCUGGCAACAAUUCAGAAUGGACUUGGUUCAAGUUGAUCUUCGUUGCUGACAACACAGCUGAUCUGUGAAGUACACAAGACAUGCACGUUAGAAAAGAAGGUCACUGAGAACAGGCUGAGGGUUGGUGAGUGGCCUGCCUUGCAGGGCUGGUGUACGGCCAUUUUGCAAAAGCUCAGCAGAGCAAGAGGGAGGAGCGAUCCGGCAGCCAUUACAGUAAGUGCAGUCUGAUUGGCUGAUGCCAAUGGAGAAGUUGCCUAGCAACUGGAGAUGGGUGGAGCCAAAGUGACAGUUGGAGCUAGGCAGCCAGGAGAAUUCUGUUCAGUUUGAAAUUCAGUCAGAGAGUUGGCUUUUGAAGUGGGAAAAUAAAGAUAGGUUUAGGGGACUGUGCUUUUAGAAAAAAGACCUCUUUGAGGAAUAUAGUUAAAAGCCUUCAGGAAAAGGAAGGGCUGAGAACUAUAUUGUGACUCUAAAGUCUAGAGUGUUGAUGUUAAAUCCCAGAGGUGGAUUUCCAAUAUUUUCUGUUGGUCAUGGGUGUUCGGAGUGCCAAGGUUGGCUC
rnacentral:lncRNA from 1 species